CGUGCGGCGGGUUGCCUUGUAACCUUCAACUCCAGCCCAUAAUAAGCCCUCUCUCAUCAGAGACCUACUGGAUACGGUCCUGCCACACCUUUACAACGAGACCAAAGUCCGCAAGGAACUCAUCAGAGAGGUUGAGAUGGGACCCUUUAAACACACAGUGGACGAUGGUCUGGACAUAAGGAAGGCAGCGUUUGAGUGCAUGUACACACUCCUGGACAGCUGUCUAGACAGACUAGACAUCUUUGAGUUCCUCAACCACGUAGAAGACGGACUCAAGGACCAUUACGACAUCAAGAUGCUGACGUUCUGAUGCUGGCUAGACUUCCACUCUGUGUCCCAGUGCUGUGCUACAGAGGCUGGACAGACUGGUUGAGCCGCUACGCGCCACCUGCACCACCAAGGUGAAGGCCAACUCAGUGAAGCAGGAGUUUGAGAAGCAGGAUGAGUUGAAGCGGUCAGCCAUGCGGUCGGUGGUCGCCCUCCUCACCAUCCCCGAGGCGGAGAAGAGUCCCCUGAUGAGCGAGUUCCAGUCCCAGAUCUCCUCCAACCCCGAGCUGGCUGCCAUCUUUGAAAACAUCCAGAGAGACUCGUCCUCCGCUAACAUGGAGUCCAUGGACACCAGCUAAACUAUGACUCUCCCACAAUCCCCCUCUUCUUCCUUUCAUUCCCAAAACAUGAUGCCGCAACAGCAACAAAAAAUACCUGGGAGGAGGGGGGACCCUUUUAUCAAUCGUUCCAUGAUGCAUUGCACUGAAUCAGCAACAGUUAUAGGAGAAAAUAAAAAAUAAUUGAACUUUAAAA